rnacentral:rRNA from 1 species
CGGUCCAGACUCCUACGGGAGGCAGCAGUGGGGAAUAUUGCACAAUGGAGGAAACUCUGAUGCAGCAACGCCGCGUGAGUGAUGAAGGUCUUCGGAUUGUAAAGCUCUGUCUUCUGGGACGAUAAUGACGGUACCAGAGGAGGAAACCACGGCUAACUACGUGCCAGCAGCCGCGGUAA